CGCGGCCUAUCAGCUUGUUGGUGGGGUAGUGGCCUACCAAGGCGACGACGGGUAGCCGGCCUGAGAGGGUGACCGGCCACACUGGGACUGAGACACGGCCCAGACUCCUACGGGAGGCAGCAGUGGGGAAUAUUGCGCAAUGGGCGAAAGCCUGACGCAGCGACGCCGCGUGAGGGAUGACGGCCUUCGGGUUGUAAACCUCUUUCAGUAGGGACGAAGCGCAAGUGACGGUACCUACAGAAGAAGCACCGGCCAACUACGUGCCAGCAGCCGCGGUAAUACGUAGGGUGCAAGCGUUGUCCGGAAUUAUUGGGCGUAAAGAGCUCGUAGGCGGUCUGUCGCGUCGGCUGUGAAAACCCGAGGCUCAACCUCGGGCCUGCAAUCGAUACGGGCAGACUGGAGUACUGCAGGGGAGACUGGAAUUCCUGGUGUAGCGGUGAAAUGCGCAGAUAUCAGGAGGAACACCGGUGGCGAAGGCGGGUCUCUGGGCAGUUACUGACGCUGAGGAGCGAAAGCGUGGGGAGCGAACAGGAUUAGAUACCCUGGUAGUCCACGCCGUAAACGUUGGGCGCUAGGUGUGGGGGCCAUUCCACGGUCUCCGUGCCGCAGCUAACGCAUUAAGUGCCCCGCCUGGGGAGUACGG
rnacentral:rRNA from 1 species